UGGGGAAUUUUGGACAAUGGGGGAAACCCUGAUCCAGCCAUCCCGCGUGUGCGAUGAAGGCCUUCGGGUUGUAAAGCACUUUUGGCAGGAAAGAAACGUCAUGGGUUAAUACCCCGUGAAACUGACGGUACCUGCAGAAUAAGCACCGGCUAACUACGUGCCAGCAGCCGCGGUAAUACGUAGGGUGCAAGCGUUAAUCGGAAUUACUGGGCGUAAAGCGUGCGCAGGCGGUUCGGAAAGAAAGAUGUGAAAUCCCAGAGCUCAACUUUGGAACUGCAUUUUUAACUACCGGGCUAGAGUGUGUCAGAGGGAGGUGGAAUUCCGCGUGUAGCAGUGAAAUGCGUAGAUAUGCGGAGGAACACCGAUGGCGAAGGCAGCCUCCUGAGAUAACACUGACGCUCAUGCUCGAAAGCGUGGGGAGCAAACAGG
rnacentral:rRNA from 1 species